GUAGAUGCGACACCGAUUCAAUAGCUUGGAUCUGCAGAAUGUCCAAGAUCAGGCGGAAGGUUACAGUGGAGAAUUCAAAAACAAUAUCUGACAGCAGCAGCACCACCGCAUCCAGCAGCACCAGCAACCCUGCCGCCCCCUCCCGCCGACCCAGCGUGUUUGAACGACUCGGCCCGAGCACUGGGAGUAAUGCUGCUGAUAGUCACUGUAGAAAUUGGCUGAAGACCGGAAACUGCAGUUACGGCAACACCUGUCGCUACACACAUGGAACUCAACCACGAGGCAAAGGAUUUAACUUCAGCCGGUCAGCAGAGAGACCCACAGGUGAUCUGCGGGAGAGGAUGAAGAAUAAAAGACAGGAUAAUGACCCAGAAAGUGUGAAGCGUGAUUUGGACGAGCCCACAUCGCCCACAGGAAGAAAGAAAGAAUCCUCCAGAGGCCGACACAGAGAGAAGGAAGAUAUCAAAAUUACAAAGGAGCGUACCCCAGCCAGCGAAGAAGAAACCACAGAGUGGGAGACAACUCGUGAGGAUUCAGAUAUUGGCGACUAUGACUACGAGUUAUCCCUCGAGAUGAAACGUCAGAAGAUUCAACGUGAGCUGAUGAAACUGGAGCAGGAGAAUCUGGAGAAGAGAGAAGAGAUUGUCACCAAGAAAGACGAGACCGUCACCAAAACGAGAUCUACGGCCAUGCAAAAAGCCUCUCCUGAGCCGCUACCCUCGCGAGACUCCCCUACACCCAGGAAGUCAAGUGGCUCCCCGAAACACAAAAGCGGAGUCAAGGGGUCCGGAAAGAAAGAGAAGAAGGCAUUAGCAUCCUUGCCCAUCACAGAAAUUGCCAAGUACGAUUCUCCCAGGCAGGGGCGGGGUCAACAAGAUGAGGACACAGUGAUGACAUAUUCUUUUGUUUGCAUCAGAUCUUCAAAAGGAUCCCACAGUAAGAAGAAAGGGCCUCGCACCCCCAGUCCUCCCCCUCCAGUGCCUCUGGACAUCCCCGUGGUCGGAAAGAAGCACAAAGGCAAGCACAAAAACAAAGAGAAGGGAGAAGAGAAGCAGAAGGAGGGAAAAGACAGGGGGCGUGAUGCAGAAAAACAUAAAGGACAAACCAAAAAGGAAAAGCGCAGGGAUCGAUCAGACAGUUCCCAUAAGGCCAAGCGCUCGGUGACGUCAGAGGAGGGGUUUGAUAGCGUGUCGCCCUCCACCAGGAAGAAGUCUGUUUCACCCAAAGCGUCUUCACACAAAGUCCCUAUAAUGGCGUCGCCCCCUCGCAGAUCUCCAUCUCCUCAACUCCACCAGCGCACGCCCACGCCGCCCCACCGCCGCUCUCCUUCCUCCCGCUCCGACUCCUCCCCGCAGCGGCAUUCGUCCUCUCCUCGUCGCAGACGCUUGUCCUCCCCCGCCUACCACCGCAGCUCUGCAGUGGCGGCCUCGUCGCCGCCGAGGUCCCAGCGCUCGCGAUCUCCCGCCGCUUCCCACGACGCGGCAUCACCCCACCGACGCUCUGAUAGGUCAAGCCCCCGCCACUCGAGGGGUCGUGAGAGAAGCCGCGGCGACAGAGAGAGGAGUCCGCAUGGGCAGGAGCGAAGACGUGAGCAGAGAGAUGAGAGCCGAGGCAAGCGAGAGAAGGAUAAUAACCGCGAUGACAGGGACUACGACACAGAGCAGGCCUUGGCGCGGGACAGCCGUGACGACCGAGAUUCCAGGGAAGCCCGAGAGCGACGAGACGGUCGAGGACGGGACGCGACCAGAGAGCCUCGUGACCGCAGAGAUGCGAAGGAAACAAGAGAGAGCAGGACAGAAACACGCUCAAGUCGAGAGUCACUUGAACGUCGGGAUCGUGAGCGGGAACGUGAAAAAGAGAGGGACAGGGAGAGAGAGCGGGAAAAAGAAAGGGAAAGGUUGGAGACCCUCAGAAAGGAGGAAGCGGCCCAGGACGACAGGAGUUACGGGAGAUCUCAUGGACGUGAAGAAGGAGGUAGAGAAGGACGAACUGAGACCAGAAGUGAGAGAAACGGACGAGGGAGGGGACGUGAAAUACCUGACAAAGGCUCAAACAGGAACUCUCGGGGGUCUCAGCUGGACAGCGGUCAUGACAACUGGGAGUCUCGAAGCAGUGGCGCGCGUGAACGCAGUGCAGAGAGGAACACGGACCGCAAUGCCACGGAAAGAGUUACAGAGCGAGACCGCUACGAUGGAGACAAGAGAGGAGAGCAGGCCCGAGACUCUUCAUACGACAGGAGAGGCGGUCACAGUGAAAGAGACCGCAGAGACAAUCGUGACAGAGAUCAAAGGGCAGUUUCCCCAAACAGACACCAGAGAAGAUCGGAGGAGUCAGAGAGGGACGAGAGAAGGGACGAGCGCAGGACAGAUCGAGGCGAGGACAGACGGGACGAAAGGACCAGAGAUCGUGAGAGAGAGCGGGAACGGGAGAAAGACAGGGAGCGAGAGAGGGAAAAGGAGAGGGAGGCUGAGAGGGAGCGUGCCAGAGAGCGGGAAAGGGAGAGAGAGCGGGAGCGGGAAAGGGAGCGAGAGAGAGAGGAGCGAGAGCGAGAACGGGAGAGAGAGGAGCGAGAGAGGGAACGUGAGAGGGAGCGGAAGGAACGAGAACGGGAGAGGGAGCAACGGGAGCGUGAGAGGCAACGGGAAUGGGAGGAGCGAGAGAGGGGGAGGGAGGAAAGGCGGGACAGAAGAGAAGAUACCCGGGAUGACCGCGCCGUUCGAGAAACGCGGGACGAUCGCAAAACAAGUCGUAAGAGACACAGAUUGGAGAGCAGCCCGAGCCCCCGACCUUCACCCAAGCGAGUGACGCGUGACGUCAGCCCCGCAGACAGCGAUGGCUACAACAGCACAGAUGAGAAAAGUGAGCGUCCAAUUGGCCGAGGACAGGCCAAGCUCCACCCACAGCCCCUUCUCCCCAGCACCGUGUGUCCGCCUCCAAGUGACAGUGCAGAGAAGCAUCGCAUCCUGAGUCAGGUGGUGAGACCCCAGGAGCCCCUGUUGCGCUCCCCAUCGCGGACUGCCCCGCCUGAUGACAAGUCUGGCCACUGGAAGGAUGAGGAGCACAGAGGAGCUGCAGACAAAAGGGACGUGCGAAGUCGACACGAAGACCAAGAGGCCCGAGGCGAGUUCAGCAGAGCAGGUGACCGGCGGGGAGAUCAGUUGUCAGACGUGCACUCAGACGCUCGAAGCCGUGGCAGAGACGUGCGAGACCCCACACCACCUCCCGUUUCUGUGGCUCCUAGCGCUGAGGGUAAAGACAGAGAUGUUGCCGGGUCACAACCCCAAGAAGACAGCAAAAAGAAGACCAAAUCACUGAGGAAGGCCUUAAAGAAAGGGCGCAAAGAUGAAAGUGAGGUGGUUGCUGGCAAAGGUCUACCUGAGCCCCCGGCUAGCAUUACGGCAGUUGGGCCUCCAUCUCUACAGUCACCAAGGAAAGGAGCAAAGAAGAAAGUGCUUGAGCGAAAGAGGAAACGGUCGCAUGGAGGAGAUUCUGAUGUAUCUGAGGAGGACUCUUCAGUGCAACAACCCCAUAAUAAGAGGAAGAGAGUACCACGGACACCGCCUCCAUCAUUGAGACCAGGUCACCGUAGCACUGUAGCCAAUACUGAGCCCUCUCCACAGUCCAAAAUAGACAACUUCAGUGACUGGUCAGAUGAAGAGGUGUCAGAUCGAGGACAAUUGGACUCUGCGCUUGCUGAGCGAGUUCCAACCGAGCCUCUUCGGAGAGUUGGUGGCCCCAGGAUGGGCCGUGAAAGAGACAGAUGCAACCCCCCGACAAUCGCCCCUCUGCUUCUGCAGGAACCUCCAAUGAUUCUGCAGACGUUAACGCCUCAGCCCCUGAUGUCCCAGCCUCUUCUGCGUAAACCUCUCCCAGAGCAGACGCGCAGCAGCAGCAUGGGGAGCAACCAGAGCCGCACGUCUUCCAGGCGCCCGCGGUCGCCUUCCAAUGAGUCGGCCCACCGUGACGACCUCCAAGGACAGCGCUCCCGAAGGGGCCGCCUUCAAGGCAAUAGCGCACAUGACCGCGAACGGGAAAGAGAAAGGUUGGCAGUGAAUGACCCGCCUGGAACCGAGAGGAAAUCAAGAAUUGACCAGUUGAGGAGAGGCGAGCCAAGCCGCAGUACUUCAUCAGACCGCCAGGAUUCCCGCAGCCACAGUUCCAGGCGUAGCUCCCCCGACUCCGAGAGACAGGCCAGGCCCCAGUCUCGUGCCGGCUCCUAUGACAGUCGAGAGCGGGAACGGGACAGGGAGCAGUUUGAUCGUGAACGGGACCGAAAAGACGUCCGGCAACAGCAGCCAGGCCUGAUACUCCAGCAACCUCUUCAACAGCAGAGAGACUGGGACUCCGAAUCCAGGGACUGGCCCAGUAGGGGACGGGAGCCCCUACUCAUGCGUCCCGGCCGUGAACCUCUUCUGAGGGAGAGGGACGUCCGGGAGCGGGAACGCUUACUCCCUGAGGGACUCAUUCAGCAGCAUGAGCGAGAACGGGAGCGCGAGAGAGAACGUGACCGAAGCGACAGAGAAAGGGAGAGAUUGAUGAUGCUGGACUUGUCCUCCCACUCUGACUCCAGAGCUGCGGGGCGAGGUGACCUGAUAAGGCAAGACAGAGGUGACUAUGAACCUCUCCUGCCAAGAGAAGCCUUCAGUCCACCUGAACCUGAGAAACCAAUCAACAGUCAUCAUGUGGCGGGCGAGCAGCCAGAGAUGGAGCAAAUAGACAGCAUCGAUGGAGAGGAUGAUGGGAAAGAAGACGACAGCCAAUCAGUGGCAUCUGUUGGAGAAGAGUAUGAACCAAUCAGUGAUGAUGAGCUUGAUGAAAUUCUGGCUGACAGUCAGAAAAAGGAAGACCAGCAGGAUGAAGAGAAGAUUGCAGGCCCUCUGGAUGUCACUGAUGUGGACUGGUCUAGCCUGAUGCCCAGACAGAAACAGGAACCCAGAGCUGCCGGGGCAGCAUUGCUGCGUUUCACCCCAGGGGCUGUCCUUCUCAGGGCAGGGGUCUCCAAGAGACUCGCUGGGCCUCAACUCCUCGAGAAGGUCAAAGAAGUCUGUAAGGCAGAGCUGGAUGACCCUAAAGAUGUCGACAAGCUGUUCGAGCACGACCUCGGCGCCUUAAACAUGGCCGCCCUGAACAGACGUGUAGAAAGGGCAGGUCUACUCAGCAACUUGGGACCCUGCUGCAAGGCUCUGUGUGCCCGCAGGGACUUUGCCAUCCGCAGGCAGCUGUUAAAAAAUGACAAGGGCCUCACCAAACAGUAUCCUGUGAACCCUGUGGUGGACAGUGAGCUGCUGCAAAUGGGCAUGCGUCUUUUUAGGAAAACCGUGGCUGGACAGAUGUCUGCUCCAAUAAGGUCAGACAGUGGCUCGGAUCCGGCUGCUGAACCGAGCUUGCCAACACCGCCAGUUGCGGCACAGCCAAAAGUUUGCGUGUCCUGAGAUGAAGAAAGAGGUUUUAGGAGGGAAACGCAUGAACAUAAUUGCUUGUGAGCCCCAACUUCUCCCUAACUUUCUCGUAUCAUCACAGACACCCGUUUUUUUAGUAGGAAAUAAACACAGAGAUGUUGUGAAUCAUUAUUUACGUUUAAAAGGUUUUGCACGUUUUCUGUGUAAUACUGGACCUUCCAGCUCAGAGGAAGGCUUGUCAUUAACCUUUAAAAAAUACAUUUACAAGCUUUUUAAAGCUUAUUUAGAUUUUUAUUGUCAGUAAUUUGCCUUAAGUCAGUGUCAUAUUUUCGUACAUUUCUUACAGAAAGUGGCUUCUUACUUGUAGAAAACAUUAGAUCCAUUGUCAAAAUAAUUGUAAUAGCGUUGUAAUAGAUGACAUGUUUUGUCUUUGCAACUUUUAUUUGGCAUUACAAACAUUACUUUUCAGUAACAAUAUAAUGUAACUGAUCACACAAUCUGCAGCCAAAAUAAAUCUUAAACCCAUUCAAAAUGAUUUAUUUUCAGAGAUGUUUUUUAUAACAAUUUUGUUUCAUCUUGUCUAUGAGGCAUCUUGUUUAGGUGUGCAUCACCACUAGUUUACCUUUUUACGCCCUGGUCUUGCUCUGUAUGAAAGUUCAGCCUUCAAGUGUGACAUAUGUGACAUCUGACAAGUUACUCAAUUCUUGCGUGCAGGUGCAGUCCAGCUACUCAGACAUGUUUUGCCAGGAUGUGACUAAAUGUUGCUCGAAUUUCAGCACAGCUUCCUUUUCGGUUGUAAUUUCAAUGUUAAAUAGUAGGAUUUGCUUUGGCAGUACAGUAAGUCCAAGCUUUGAACUGAUGUCUGUGCUUAUACUGUAGAAUGCUGAGUACCAUAACUAUGGUGACACCAUAGCUGGAUAAGUGGACCCUGAAUUGGUGAACUAUUAGUCAAUGCUGCAGCUCAAAUGCAAUGGACCAGCUGCAUCAAUACUCCCUCUCAACUGUCUUAACAGAACAAUAACAAUGUGAACUUAAGUCCUGGAUUCCACACGAUGCAAUCUUGAAUUCAUUGACAUUGUAGACACUUCUCUUGUGAUACUAAACGUAUUUGUGUUGCAUUCCAAGCUUUCCAGUUUACUUUUGUUUAGUCAAUAUGGAAUUUGCACUAUUUAAUAAAAAACACGAUAAAUGAUCAGAGUAUUUACACCUUCCAAUUGACGGGUAAACUGAAUUUAUUGCAACUCUGUUCCUUGACAAUUAUAUAGAUAUUUUUCAAAUAAAAUGACCGCUUUUUGCAAAGGUUUUUUGGAUUUGCUAGACAAUAUUCACAUUGUGUGUGGUCAAAAGUUUAGUUUGUUAGACUUUAACAGCAGAAUUUACAGUACUGUUUAUUUUAUGAAUAAAAGAUACACCCUUAUACGUCAUAUGUACAGCAAAAUUUGUUGUCUGCAUUUUUUAGCCCAUCCUCAUGAGGUACAGUACAGCGCACAAAGAACGGAUCCGGGUUGGAGUGCAGGGGAGCUGAGUGACGCCUUUUUUUGUGAUUUUUUAUUUUAUUUUAAUUUUUUUAUUUCUGCAAUUUGUGCAUGCCGGGAACCGACCUAGGUCUAAUUGUUUGAGACGAACAUCUUACAAUGACGGACCUGUUUCCUUUACCCACAAUGCUCGCCGUUCUUACCGUCCUU